rnacentral:rRNA from 1 species
UACGUAGGGUGCAAGCGUUAAUCGGAAUUACUGGGCGUAAAGCGUGCGCAGGCGGUUGUGCAAGACAGAUGUGAAAUCCCCGGGCUUAACCUGGGAAUUGCAUUUGUGACUGCACGGCUAGAGUGUGUCAGAGGGGGGUAGAAUUCCACGUGUAGCAGUGAAAUGCGUAGAUAUGUGGAGGAAUACCGAUGGCGAAGGCAGCCCCCCUGGGAUAACACUGACGCUCACGCACGAAGCGUGGGAGCAAACAGG